ensembl:miRNA
AGGCAGGAGAAUUGCGUGAGCCUGGGAGAUGGAGGUUGCGGUGAGCUGAGAUCACGCCACUGCACUCCAAUCUGGGCCAAAGAGUGAGACCCUGUCUC